UUCCACCAGUAGACUGAAUGACAAAGCGUUUAGUUAUGACAUAACAUACAGCAAACAUGUGGCAAGGAAAUUAAAUAUCUUCUUUAUUUUAUUAUUCACAGAUGUUCUCUAAAAAAUGUUCAGAAAUUUCAAAAUACACACAAAUACGUUAUUCCGCCCUGGGACUUGCCAGAACGAUAUUAUAUCUAAUACACCAUAAUAGAUCUCUUAAAUGUUGCUAUAUAUCUUAUAUUUCUUUAUUUAUAUUUAACGUCUUUUUAGGGGUUAGGUGUCAAUUGGGACGAGAGUCCUGUUCCUUUCCCCUGUCACGAUUUGUAUCUGUCUUUAUUUGUCUUUAAUUAGUUUGUAUCAUGUAUAAAGUGACAAAUUCAUUAUAUUAUAUUAUUAUUAUUAUUAUAUCACUACUCUAUAGUUAUAUCAGAACAGACCGGUUUCACAGAGUCAUAUGGAAAUAAUUUGUGGUUUUCAUUAGUCUACAAUGUCUCCUUGUAGGGGACUGACAUUUCAAACCUGGAACAAAACCAUGUGAACCUAAAUCACAGUGCUCGUGAAAUAAAGAAAUACCUGAGGCCCAAGAGAUAGUUGUGAUGGUAAAAUUCAUUAUAUUACAACAUAUUAUCACAACGCAAGAUUGUGCGAAGUCAAUAAAAUAAGAAGGUUAAUUUGGAAACUCAAUGCAGAAAUAUAAAUAGACCUCAUUAUCUCUGUUUUUGUCGUGGUUUACGAAAUGGUUCGCGUUUGACCGCAAACUCUCAUCAACUUUCAUUGACUUUGAUCGAACUGGUUCAAAUUUCAAUGAGAGUUGAUAAGAGUUUUCAGUUAACUCUUAUCAACUCUCAUGCAACUAUUGUUCUUGUUUGACCGGGGCACGAGAGUUGAGAAAACUCUCACUUCUCAACUCUCAUCAACUCUCAUGCAACUCUUGUUCCCGUUUGACCGGGGCACGAGAGUUGAGAAAACUGUCAUUUCUCAACUCUCAUUAAGUCUCAUUCUCGUUUGAUCCUGACUUACAGUAAGUGACCUCGCAAAGGUAACGUUACCUACUAGAGAUCGGUUGCAUGAAGGUCGGACAGCGAUAUCAAUUUUUUUAAGCUUCAAGGGCCCACAGUAAUUCGUGUAUGCUGUUGUGGUGGCAAAGUUAAAUAAACUAAAAUAAACUAAUUGCCCGUUCAGUUGAUAUAACCCAGAUAAAACUUUAGCAUUCAUAAAUUAAAGUCUGCAUCCGCAAUUUUAUAGCUUUUUAACUUUAUGACAACGGUUGGAAUAACCAUCCGGUGGAUAGCGGUAUCCUGCCUUCGUACAACCGGCCCCAGAGAAAGAAAACCCUACUGGUAGGGUAAUCCUACAAUCUUGCACAUAACCCUUGAGACAAUUGCAGCCAAUAUUGCAAGUUGACUGCCUCUCUUUCAGUUCAAUGUUGUAUUAAAACAGCACCGAAACAAUUUUUGGUAAUUUACCAUGAUACAAGCUCUACAUUGAGGUGGGCGAGCUGUGGCAUGAAGUCUCAAGCAAUAGACCUUAUUCAUAAAUCGUGAUGAGGCCUCGUAUCCUAGGAAACGGGAACAAAAAGCGGGAAAAUUGACAAAAUGUUUUUUCUGCUGUCGGCUAUGGCAGCUUUUUUUCGUAAAUAUUACGGCUUUUUUCAAAAAUAUAUCUAUAAAACUGAGCUUGAAAGUUGAAAAAAAUACUUCUGAGAAAAUAUAACAUGAUAUUUAAAGCAAAAGAUGCUGGAGUCAAUCGAAAAAGGAAACCUUUGACUUUGUAUUAUUGUCGUAGUUUGUAUGGCCAAAACAAAUAACCAACAAGGCUACGAAACGUCUAUACAACACCAAAAUCGUAAGAAAUAUGAAACAAUUGUUGAAGAAAUAAGAUUACAACUCACUCAGGUAAUGUAGCCUUCAUUUUUUAAACUUGUAAGCUGCUUGCAGAAUGUUAUCGAGCCACAGUCAUUAGUUCAUAUUUUUCCGUACGAAUCAAUAACAUUUGACGUUCUCUUGUGAUUUUUGACUGUUAUUUUCUUUCAUAUUUAUGUCAAAUUCGAAAAAUUAUACUUCCAUUCCAUAGUUGUCUUGAUUCUUCACGGAAUAAACCUUUAUAUUGGCGUUAAAAUCUCAGUAAAAUACUGUUUUUCGCUUCUGGAUAAACACCAUCGCUACGUUGUCAUUUUUUCCACACAAAAACGGGAGAAAAAACGGUCGCUUUUAUAAUAUACUCGUUUGCCGCUUUCGUUGUAGGCACAAAGUCUUAAAAUACACACAAAAAUCGUUAUAAAUCGCAAAAAGCAACAAGAAAUAAGCCGUUAAAGUCGACACAAUAGCAUCUGAAUUUGGCUUGUCAAGCAGUUUUCGCUUGUUUUCCCGCGUUUUGUUCAU